rnacentral:sRNA from 1 species
GAGCGCAGGAAGUUUGCCGGAAGAGCGCGGGAAGUUUGCCGGAAACGGACAGAAAGGAGUCCCUGCGACCGCGUAGCUUCCUGCAGCGCCCCCUGUUGGCAGAGUCGUAGCGAGGCCGAGAUGAGGACUCUGACCCCAGUGCAGUGUCUGUAGGGAAGAGGAGCCAUGGGGCUUCGGGCAGGCCCCAUCCUGCUUCUGCUGCUGUGGCUGCUGCCAGGUGAGGGAUGCGCCUCUGUCUUCUCCUCCCUCCCACCCCCUGCCAGCCUGUGUGCUCCCCUUUGCUCUCUUGCUUUCCAGGGGCUCAUGGGGAUGUGCUGCCUUCAGAAUGCGGCCACUCCAAGGAGGCCGGGAGGAUUGUGGGAGGCCAAGACAGCCAGGAAGGACGCUGGCCGUGGCAGGUUGGCCUGUGGUUGACCUCAGUGGGGCAUGUAUGUGGGGGCUCCCUCAUCCACCCACGCUGGGUGCUCACAGCUGCCCACUGCUUCCUGAGGGUGACUCCGGGGGGCCGCUGGUCUGCCCCAUCAAUGAUACGUGGAUCCAGGCCGGCAUUGUGAGCUGGGGAUUCGGCUGUGCCCGGCCUUUCCGGCCUGGUGUCUACACCCAGGUGCUAAGCUACACAGACUGGAUUCAGAGAACCCUGGCUGAAUCUCACUCAGGCAUGUCCGGGGCCCGCCCAGGUGCCCCCGGAUCCCACUCAGGCACCUCCAGAUCCCACCCAGUGCUGCUGCUUGAGCUGCUGACCGUAUGCUUGCUUGGGUCCCUGUGAACCAUGAGCCAUGGAGUCCGGGAUCCCCUUUCUGGUAGGAUUGAUGGAAUCUAAUAAUAAAAACUGUAGGUUUUUUAUGUGUAUUUUA